CAUUGCAGGACUGUGCAGCUCUUUGAGAAGUUUCUAACAUCCUUGGCAGAAGGGUGAACUUCCAGCCCUUCAUUUCUAGGAGUGCUCUCCGCCCUUAAGUGGUAGAUAGGUGGAUUUGAAAGGAGUACUGUCAUUUCCCCCGCCACUUCGACCGUAAACUGUCUUUCCCUUAGAAAGGAAGUAGCGGAGAUAGGGGAGUGGAAGGACAGAAGGUUGCUAGCUACUGUCCUUCCUUGGACUCAGUUGACUCCCCUGAGAGGAAGGUGGCUGAGCGCUUGGCUGGAGUUAUUUGUAAAUAAUAGUGACCGCACAGCACCCUGUUUAUAUGGGCAAGAAAAUUACUGAGGAGGUGGGGAUAAGAGAGAAUAGAAAACUACUACUUCUGCUCCCCUACUCCCUUUCCCUUCUCCCACCCUGCUACCCCUCACCCUCCACACAAAUAUAUAUGCAUGUAUAUAUAUAUAUAUAUAUAUAUAGGUAUGUAUGUCUAUAUACAUAUAUAUGAACUUUCAACUUCCCUGGGAGCUCUUAAACACUUCACUGGUGUAGUUCUCACACGACGUGUGAAGGUGUGGAUUAACAAAGUUCAAUUUCCCAGACAGAAUGCGGAGGGUGAGAAUUUGGCACUGGGGACCCUCUGAAAUAGCUGCUCUCCAAAUACUUGAAGGAGAAAAAUGGACGACCUAAAAAUUAGUCCUUACUUCCUGAUUGAGUAUAAACCCAUCAGCAUCUUUAAUGGCCUUUGCUGCAGAUGGAUUGAGCCAGCCCUUAGUUCAAUCGCGGGGAGACUGGAGCCUGAGGAGCAGCAGCAGCCCCAGCGGCAGCCGCAGUAGCAGUCUUGGUAUUGAGCAAGUGUCUCAGUGCCCCCACCCCCUGAAGCCAAUACACCUCCUUAGAAAGGGCCACUGGGGGAAGCAAAUCCACCAGCCAGAGGCGGCGAAGCAGCAUGGACAGGAAAACCAGGAACGACACAAACUAAAAAGGGGAUCAGACUCAACCGUUUGUUUCAAAAAACCAAAACACCUAAGGGACAGUAAAAUGAGCUUUCCUUCUUUCUGACCUGGGAAGAGCAUGAUGCUUCUCCAUUUCACAUCACCUUCUUACCUUCCCCCUUUCCCCCCCCCAAGAAAAAAUAACUCAAGUAGAAAAGGAAUAAAGAAAUAAAAUCACAGCUACGGAUAUACCCA
rnacentral:lncRNA from 1 species